CCCUUAGAUGUCCUGGGCCGCACGCGCGCUACACUGAUGCAUUCAACGAGUUUUACCUUGGCCGAGAGGCCUGGGCAAUCUUUUAAACCUGCAUCGUGAUAGGGAUAGAUUAUUGCAAUUAUUAAUCUUGAACGAGGAAUUCCUAGUAAACGCAAAUCAUCAAUUUGCAUUGAUUGCGUCCCUGCCCUUUGUACACACCGCCCGUCGCACCUACCGAUUGAAUGGUCCGGUGAAGCCUCGGGAUUGUGGCCAGUUCACUUUAUUGGGAGUUGGCUGUGAGAACUUGUCUAAACCUUAUCAUUUAGAGGAAGGUGAAGUCGUAACA
rnacentral:rRNA from 1 species